AAGACACAGCUAGGGAUCCUAGGAACAGCAAAGAUACUGCACAGAACCCUCAAGUUCCCAGGUCUCUGGUAGAGGACCCGAGCUUGGAUGGAUGAGAGACCACCCACGGAGGGCGAGGGGACAAUUUUCUAU